AUUGAACGCUGGCGGCAUGCCUUACACAUGCAAGUCGAACGGCAGCACGGGAGCAAUCCUGGUGGCGAGUGGCGAACGGGUGAGUAAAGUAUCGGAACGUGCCCAGUCGUGGGGGAUAACGUAGCGAAAGUUACGCUAAUACCGCAUACGAUCUAUGGAUGAAAGCGGGGGAUCGCAAGACCUCGCGCGAUUGGAGCGGCCGAUAUCAGAUUAGGUAGUUGGUGGGGUAAAGGCUCACCAAGCCGACGAUCGGUAGCUGGCCUGAGAGGACGACCAGCCACACUGGGACUGAGACACGGCCCAGACUCCUACGGGAGGCAGCAGUGGGGAAUUUUGGACAAUGGGCGAAAGCCUGAUCCAGCCAUGCCGCGUGCAGGAUGAAGGCCUUCGGGUUGUAAACUGCUUUUGUACGGAACGAAAAGGUUUGGCCUAAUAAGCUGAGCUCAUGACGGUACCGUAAGAAUAAGCACCGGCUAACUACGUGCCAGCCGCCGCAGUAA
rnacentral:rRNA from 1 species